rnacentral:rRNA from 1 species
UACAGAGGUGCCGAGCGUUAGGCGGAAUCACUGGGCUUAAAGCGUGUGUAGGCGGACUUCUAAGUACCUUGUGAAAUCCCAACGGCUUACCCGUGGAACUGCUGGGUAUACUGGUCGUCUUGAGCCACCUAGGGGCCAGCGGGAACAAAUGGUGGAGCGGUGAAAUGCGUAGAUAUCAUUUGGAACGCCAACGGUGAAAACAGCUGGCUGGGGGUGUGCUGACGCUGAGACACGAAAGCCAGGGAGCGAACGGG